rnacentral:rRNA from 1 species
CCUAUAAUGCAGUCGAGCGGACAGAAUGGGAAGCUUGCUCCCUGAUGUUAGCGGCGGACGGGUGAGUAACACGUGGGUAACCUGCCUGUAAGAGUGGGAGAACUCCGGGAAACCGGGGCUAAUACCGGAUGGUUGUUUGAACCGCAUGGUUCAAACAUAAAAGGUGGCUUCGGCUACCACUUACAGAUGGACCCGCGGCGCAUUAGCUAGUUGGUGAGGUAAUGGCUCACCAAGGCAACGAUGCGUAGCCGACCUGAGAGGGUGAUCGGCCACACUGGGACUGAGACACGGCCCAGACUCCUACGGGAGGCAGCAGUAGGGAAUCUUCCGCAAUGGACGAAAGUCUGACGGAGCAACGCCGCGUGAGUGAUGAAGGUUUUCGGAUCGUAAAGCUCUGUUGUUAGGGAAGAACAAGUACCGUUCGAAUAGGGCGGUACCUUGACGGUACCUAACCAGAAAGCCACGGCUAACUACGUGCCAGCAGCCGCGGUAAUACGUAGGUGGCAAGCGUUGUCCGGAAUUAUUGGGCGUAAAGGGCUCGCAGGCGGUUUCUUAAGUCUGAUGUGAAAGCCCCCGGCUCAACCGGGGAGGGUCAUUGGAAACUGGGGAACUUGAGUGCAGAAGAGGAGAGUGGAAUUCCACGUGUAGCGGUGAAAUGCGUAGAGAUGUGGAGGAACACCAGUGGCGAAGGCGACUCUCUGGUCUGUAACUGACGCUGAGGAGCGAAAGCGUGGGGAGCGAACAGGAUUAGAUACCCUGGUAGUCCACGCCGUAAACGAUGAGUGCUAAGUGUUAGGGGGUUUCCGCCCCUUAGUGCUGCAGCUAACGCAUUAAGCACUCCGCCUGGGGAGUACGGUCGCAAGACUGAAACUCAAAGGAAUUGACGGGGGCCCGCACAAGCGGUGGAGCAUGUGGUUUAAUUCGAAGCAACGCGAAGAACCUUACCAGGUCUUGACAUCCUCUGACAAUCCUAGAGAUAGGACGUCCCCUUCGGGGGCAGAGUGACAGGUGGUGCAUGGUUGUCGUCACCUCCUGUCCUGAGAUGUUGGGUUAAGUCCCCCACCAACGCAACCCUUGAUCUUAUUUGCCACCAUUCAGUUGGGCACUCUUAAGGGGAUUGCCGGUGACAAACCCGAGGAAGGUGGGGAUGAACUCCAAUCAUCAUGCCCCUCUUAACUGGGGUUACACCCGUGCUUCAAUGGACAAAACAAAGGGGGCGGAAACCGCCAGGUUAGGCAAUCCUCCAAUCUUUUCCUUUUUUGGAUCCAACUUGCAACUCCACUGCCGGGAACUGGAAUCCUUAAAAUCCCGAAAACAUGCCCGCGGAAACAUUCCCGGCCUUGCAACCCCCCUCACCACAAAUUGAACCCCAAUCGUAGACCAAGCCACGUUUCCUUGUGACUUGUGUUGUUAUUUAUAGUAUUUAUGUUAGUUUAU